rnacentral:rRNA from 1 species
UACGUAGGGAGCAAGCGUUGUCCGGAAUCAUUGGGCGUAAAGCGCGCGUAGGCGGCCCUGUAAGUCCGCUGUGAAAGUCAAAGGCUCAACCUUUGAAAGCCAGUGGAUACUGCAGGGCUAGAGUCCGGAAGAGGAGUGUGGAAUUCCUGGUGUAGCGGUGAAAUGCGCAGAUAUCAGGAGGAACACCAAUGGCGAAGGCAGCACUCUGGGACGUGACUGACGCUGAGACGCGAAAGCGUGGGGAGCAAACAGG